rnacentral:rRNA from 1 species
UACGGAGGGGGCUAGCGUUGUUCGGAAUUACUGGGCGUAAAGCGCGCGUAGGCGGCUUUGUAAGUUAGAGGUGAAAGCCCAGGGCUUAACCCUGGAAUUGCCUUUAAGACUGCAUCGCUAGAAUCGUGGAGAGGUGAGUGGAAUUCCGAGUGUAGAGGUGAAAUUCGUAGAUAUUCGGAAGAACACCAGUGGCGAAGGCGACUUACUGGACACAUAUUGACGCUGAGGUGCGAAAGCGUGGGGAGCAAACAGG